AAGAGUCCGGAAAGAAAACAUAAGAGUGUGAAAAAUUACACCGGUGCCUGCGACCGGGACAACAAGCAGUGGACGAUGGUGGAAGCAGCAGAUGGUGUCCAAUGCCGGAGCAGGUGAUGUUGUUAGAAAGAAUGCGCUCUGAAAACUACAAAGGCCACUCAGAUACAACAAAUCACACCAAGGCUAUCAAUUUAUAGCAAAAUACGAGGCAAAAAUGUUUUCUGUUGGCUUCAAAAUCACAAAGCUGGUGAACGAGAAAAGCUUCAAAAGAACCUCAUGGCCAUGCAUGCAUGUACCAGCAAUAUCACCUAGUAAAUUUUCAACUCCUUUUGUUUAAAUUACUUAAAAAUGAAAUUUAAGUUGUCCAUUAAAUUAUUAGUCAUGUUUUGAUCUUUUAACUUGGCUGUAAGGUCGCCAAAUUUUCAAGGUUUCCUAGACAUGAUUAUCUUUUAAAAAAGGUUGGUGAAGUUGAAGAUGCAUCAACAAUUAUCAAGAAUUGGAAGGUACAUUGACAUGAGUUUCUUUCGAAGCUUUUGUCGGUCACGAGCUUUGUGAUUUUGAACCCAUGCAACAGAAGACAUUUUUGCCUUGUAUUUUGCCAUAAGUCGAUAGCCUUGCUGUGAUUUGCUGUAUCUGAUCAGUGGCCGUUGGUGUAUUUAGAGCGCAUUCCUUCUAAUAACAUCACCUGCUCCGGCGUUGGAUACCAUCUCGUGCUUCCACCACCACCUCAGCCACCACUGAUUGUUAUCAUUUUUGGACUCUUUUUGUUAGUGUUUGUUUUGAAGGGAUGUACUGUUCCUCUACCCCAUAGCCUUAAUUGAAUAAUUGAUAAGAAAAUGUUAAGUAUGGUUCACGUCCAAAAUGUUUAUCAUUUGCAACUCUAUACCACUAUUUCUUAAAUGGGCG